GAAAAAGUUAGAUGGAGACAUCAUUUGUGACAGGAUGCAAUGUAAGAGGUGUACAAACAGAUAUCAAAGGACAGAACUGUCAGUGGGGGGCAUGGAAGGGAGAAGAGAAGUUUUCACUCUGCGAAGAGCAUGUUGAAGGGUUUUAAGAGAUUCAGAAGAUUUCAAUGAACAGCGAUGGAACAGAAGGCAGAAGCUAAGGUUUUCUGUUGCUUAGGUUGGCUCAAGUCUGUGGAUUGGGGUCUCGUCUGCUUCACCAGUACCAGUGGCUGUCUGGGGCAUGCUAUUCGCAUUGGAGACCACAGAAAUGUAAGUCAGCAGGCCAAACCACACAGACUUAUGUAAAACUUCUGCUUGCAUCACAUUUGCUCACAUUCUGUUGUCCUAUACAAAUCACUUGGCCAAGCCCAACUGUAGUGGGCUGGGAUACAUACUCUGCCUACAGUGGGAGGCAGUGAAAAGUCACAUGGCAAAGAGUGAGGAUGUGCAACUUUAUUAGGAAGUGAGUGAAGAAUUGAGAGUAAUAAUCUUGUAUAUCAUAAACCUCAAAGCAGCUGUGUGGAUUGUCUAUUGUUAACUCACCUUCAUCCCUGGCCCUUAUAUUAAAUGUACCAAUUGCACUGCAUUUCAGGGGUGAAGCUUCACAUAUUAAUUGGCUUUGGCUGCCAUAACAAAACACUAUAGACUGGCCAGCUUAAACAACAGACAUUUAUUUCUCACAGUUCUGGAGGCUGGGAACCUGAGAUCAGGGUGCCAGCAUGGUUGGCUUCUGGUAAGAGCUCUCUGCUUGGCUUGCUGCCUUUUCACAGUGACAUUAUGUGGUGGGUAGAGAGAGGGAGCAAGCUUUCUGGUAUCUUUUUAUAGGAGCACCAAUUCCAUUAUGGGGGGCCCACCCUAAUGACCUUGUUUAUUAAAUCUAAUUAUUUCCUAAAGGGACUGUCUCUAAAUAUCAUCACAUUUGGGGGUUAGGCUGUCAACAUGUGAAUUGUGGGGGGACACAUUUCAGACCAUAGUACCCAAGAGCAAUAUUUUCUGAAACCCCUAGCCUACUGGGUCAGAUUCUGUUAAUGAGAA
rnacentral:lncRNA from 1 species